UACGGAGGAUGCAAGCGUUAUCCGGAAUGAUUGGGCGUAAAGCGUCCGCAGGUGGCUAUGUAAGUCUGCUGUUAAAGAGUGAGGCUCAACCUCAUAAGAGCAGUGGAAACUACAUGGCUAGAGUGCGUUCGGGGCAGAGGGAAUUCCUGGUGUAGCGGUGAAAUGCGUAGAGAUCAGGAGGAACACCCGUGGCGAAGGCGGCCCUCUGGCUCGACCCUGACGCUGAGGCGCGAAAGCGUGGGGAGCGAACGGG
rnacentral:rRNA from 1 species